rnacentral:rRNA from 1 species
AGAGUUUGAUCAUGGCUCAGGAUGAACGCUAGCUACAGGCUUAACACAUACAAGUCGAGGGGCAGCAUUGGAGUAGCAAUACUCAGAUGGCGACCGGCGCACGGGUGAGUAACACGUAUCCAACCUGCCGCUUACUCGGGGAUAGCCUUUCGAAAGAAAGAUUAAUACCCGAUGGUAUAAAGAGUUCGCAUGUUCUCUUUAUUAAAGAAUUUCGGUAAGCGAUGGGGAUGCGUUCCAUUAGAUAGUUGGCGGGGUAACGGCCCACCAAGUCUACGAUGGAUAGGGGUUCUGAGAGGAAGGUCCCCCACAUUGGAACUGAGACACGGUCCAAACUCCUACGGGAGGCAGCAGUGAGGAAUAUUGGUCAAUGGACGAGAGUCUGAACCAGCCAAAAGUAGCGUGAAGGAUGACUGCCCUAUGGGUUGUAAACUUCUUUUAUAAGGGAAUAAAGUGAGGGACGUGUCCCUUUUUGUAUGUACCUUAUGAAUAAGGAUCGGCUAACUCCGUGCCAGCCGCCGC